rnacentral:misc_RNA from 1 species
GCCACACCCUAUCACACUAUUCAUCAGUUUGCUACACAAGUCAAGCGUGUGUAAAGAAGUUUUACUUCAAAAACUAGCGUGCGUAAAAAUAAAUAGUUACCAAAUCUGACUCCGAUUAUGAAUACCGAAAAUCUGGGCGUCACAUGAAAUUUCCAUAUACUAUGUCUGCUAAAAUUGCUCAAUUUCCAUAUUUCUUUUACAUGAAAAAUAAUAAUAUUUGGAUGUAUUAUCCGCUGGGAUGCUUAGUAUCGUUAUAUUUUAUUAUAAAAAUCCACGUUGUAGUAAAUUCAGAAGAAAAUGUAAAAUCUUGGGCUGAAUCACAACGUAGAGCUGCUGAAAAAGAACAUCAUUAAUAUGAACACGUAGAGCUGCUGAAAAAGAACAUUAAUAAUAUGAAUAUACUAUACACAAUAAAAACACCAAAAUGACUAAAUAAUAUAUACAUAUGUAGUUUCAUUUUAUAUUUUGCAUAAUUAUUUUGUCGUUUG